GAUGAAUAACGCAGCGAAAUGCGAUAAGUAAUGUGAAUUGCAGAAUUCAGUGAAUCAUCGAAUCUUUGAACGCACAUUGCGCCCGCCAGUAUUCUGGCGGGCAUGCCUGUUCGAGCGUCAUUUCAACCAUCAAGCCCCAGGCUUGUGUUGGAGCCCUGCGGCUGCCGCAGCCUCCCAAAACCAGUGGCGGGCUCGCUAUCACACCGAGUGCAGUAGUUUACUCUUCGCUCAGGGCGUGUGGCGGGUGCUAGCCGUAAAACCCCCAACUUCUCAAGGUUGACCUCGGAUCAGGUAGGAAUACCCGCUGAACUUAAGCAUAUCAAUAAGCGGAGGA
rnacentral:misc_RNA from 1 species